UGGUAGUGUGAAGGCAGCUGACAGCUGGUGGCUGGUAGCUAGUGGUUGGUGGUUUGAGGUUGGUGGUUGCCUUCCUUUACUUUCUGGAUUGAUUUACUAGAGGAGCUAAAUUGCUAAAAUAAAAACUUGGAUGUCAGUUUGGAUGCUUCGGGAUGUAAUUUGGAUUCGUUUCUUCAAAAACCUGUUUGCUGGCAGAAUUUAGUUGUCAUCUUUGAAAACUCAUAUAUCUCUUAUAUGACAUCGUUUGUUACUGAAAUUUGGAGCGUUGAUAGGUCUUUAAGUCAGGAAUCCAAAAAAAUUAGAAUCACUUCAUUUCGAUCUUUAGAACUCACGCUCUGCAUAAAACAUCGACUGAACAUUAAAUCUGCCAAUUACCUCCAAUUUACUCCUUUUUGCAUCUUUCAUCCAAAAGUGCCUUCAAAACAUAAAACAAAGAAUAUCAAGGCAUUUUAUAUAUAUAACAUAGGCAAAACACUAGUUAAAUGUGGGUGAAACUAUCGAAUAAUAUGGUUGCAUCAAAUACCCCCACACUUAGCUCUUGCUCGUCCUCGAGAAAGGAUAGAUAAAAUCAAAUUGAAAACAACUAUGACCAAUCUCUUAAUCUCCCAUCAAUGUCCAAGAGUAUAUGCAUUAUAAACAAGAAUACAAUCAAGAAGGAUAAAGAGUAUACAUUUUCAUGAAUUUAUUUACAUGCAAACUUCGAAACUCAAUUAAUCAUUAGGAUUUAAAUGAAAUCUAUGCCAUGCCAAAGUGAUAGGUCCUCUCAUUGAUAUACACUCCAACACUCAUGUGUUUAGGGCUUUUGUGUUUAUAUCUCUCAAAUUCAAUCAAUGAAUAUGUUCUACCAUAAGUUUGCUCUUCAAUCUCAUCUCCAUUAUUAACAUAUUACAAGCAAUGCAUGAAUCAAAAUGUCUUAUUUUCUGGAUGUUAUGGGACUAAGGUUAAGGUGAGGUAAAAGAGAGUAAAAGAAAAGGUUCAAAUCAAAGAAAGUAGAACAUUCUGAAAAAUGAUAUUUCAAACAAGAUAUUCCAUUAAAACACAUAAUUUUUCCAACUUUAAUCAUCAAUGCUUCUCUUUCAACAUAAAACCUUAAGAACAUAAAUGAAUUACUUUUUUUUAUUCUUUUCUUUUCUUUUUUCUUUUUUUCUUUUUUGUUUUUCACCUUUGGCAACUUUACCCAUCUUUUCAUCAAGCGUCACUUUUUCUUUCUUUUCACAUAAUUUCCAACUAUAAUUCCAUGAGAUAUCACAAGUAUAUGCUCUACUAAUCCUUGGCUAGGGGAAAAGGAAAACAUAUAAGAAGUUCAGGUUUACACAUAGUUAAAGUAAAGAAAAAUAACAAGCUCAAAAGAGGCUCAUUAAGGAUAAUAUGCUUUAGGUUGACUUUUUGGUUCAAGUGGUUAAAAUUCCUAAUGCCUUUAUCAUCUUCAUGUAUAUAUGUAAUGCGAAUGUAAUCUCCACAAGUUCUAGAGAUACAUACCAUUGAAAGAAUGCACAAUCAAAGAAUAUAAUUGAGGGAGAGAGGGAAAGAGAGUGCAGUAGAACAAAAAAAAAAAGGGUGGCAACCAUAAGAGAAGAAACACAAACUCUCCUCUUUACAAACCAGAAAUCAUGUUUUCUUCCAUCUUUAGAAGUAGUUGUUCAAUAAAUAUGUAAAGCUAAACUUGUUACAGCUAUGAUUUCAGUAGCUUUUCUCUUAACACUACUAUGGUUUCGACUACUGUUUGGGACAUUACAACUAGCCACUAUCCUACUAACAUCUUCCACAAAAUUAGGAAUAACAUCCUCCUCCUAAUCACCAUUUCCUUCCGCAAAAUUUUUGUCAACAUUACUUGAAUUUCCCAAUCCAUCACCACCAUGAUCUUCUUCAGAAGUCAUUCCUUGAGAUGAAGCCCAUUCAUGUUGUCGGUGAAGACCAUUUUUCAUGACAAUAAACUAAAGAUAAUCAAAUUCUAUGGAGACUAUUAUGACAUAUUAAUGUCAACAUUUUGAUGGCUAAUUCACUAACAACAGUAAUGAUAAAUAGUUUCAGAUCUAUUACGAAUCAUGUUAGAAAUUAAAAAAAAAAAAACAAUUACCGUAUAAAAAGUACAAAUUGCUAGAACCCAUUCCAGAAGCAUAAAAAUAAUAAUUAGUCAUUGCAUUCUAUCAUGAAUUAAUAAACCAACAAUUACAUGCACAGUAAGUUCCUUGAAGCAAGCCAGUAAAAAAAUAAGCUCAAUAGAAGAUUAGACGAAAGAUAGAUUUUGAACAUGGCAACAACAAAUCGAUAAUCAUAACAAAUAAAAUGAAGUAAUUAAUGGCAGUAAACAACAAAUGCAUCGAACUCACUGAAAUAAGGAAGAAGUUUGAUGUUGUCGUUGUGGAUGUAAUUAACGUUGAACAAAAUGUUGGUGUUCAGUGCCUUUUCUGCAGGCUUGUGUUGUGAUUAUGGAAGAGUUUGGAGGAUACUGUGUAGAUCUAGUUGCUUUGGUUUCUCUAUAGAUCCAGAUCUUGUAGGAGGUUUCUGCAGACUGGUUUCUCAUGGAAAGAAUGAGGUUAUUUUUUGCCUUUCUUUAGAAACGAUAAAGGAGACGAGCAGGGCAGCAGAGACUUUUAUGGUAACCCUGGGCAAACAUUAAAGAAUAUUUAAGAACCCAACUAAAAAACCAUGUAUACACUGCUGUGCAAUGAACUGCGUUUUCAACUCAAAUUUUAUAUGGGACCCGCUUCACAAAACUCAACUUUAUUCAGAACCAAACAAUUAUUAAUUGUGGUUCACCGCAAACGUGAAAUCCACCCCGAAAACAAACACAGUUUAUAGAACUUUUCCUGACGUUCUCCAAGUUCUUUUCUAUAUAUAUGAUAGGGUGAAAUCAUAAUCCCACCGCUUCCUA
rnacentral:lncRNA from 1 species